ACGGCUAUAAGUUAAUGGUAGACUACUUAGCUACCACCUAAGAUGUGUCGAUUCGAAUUCGACUAGCCGUA
rnacentral:tRNA from 13 species